CGGUCUCGACCCGAAACGUCGCCUUUUUCCUUCGCUCCAUAGAUGCUGCCUCACCCGCUGAGUUUCCCCAGCAUUUUUGCCUACAUCCAAUUGACAUGGAUCAUAUUCAUCUCCAGUGUUCAACCAUGGUAGGGGACAACUGCUUGGUCCUCAUUGAGGUGUCCAAGAGCAUAAACAGAUCAGACUGAAUGAAGUAGGACAUGGCUUCAAUGGCGAAAUGGCCGUUAGUUGAUUUUGAGUUGUAGAGUUCCGCAGCACAGAAACACGCCCUUCAGCCCAACUCGUCCAUGCUGUCCCAAAUGCCCCAUCUCAGGUAGCACAAUGUACCUGCAUCUGGCCCGUAUCCCCCAAGACCUUUUCUACCCAUGUCCUUGUCAAAAUGUUUUUAAAAUGUUGUUAUUGUAACCACCUCGACGACUUCCUCUGGCAGCUCGUACCAUAUACACACCACCCUCUGGCAACUUGUACCGUAUACCCACCAACCUCUGGCAAUUUGUACCAUAUACCCACCAACCUCUGGCAAUUUGUACCAUAUACCCACCAACCUCUGGCAGCUUGUACCAUAUACACACCACCCUCUGGCAGUUUGUACCAUAUACCCACCAACCUCUGUUUGAAAUAGUUGUCCCUCAGGUUUCUGUGAAAUAUUCCCCCUCUCGCCUUGAACCUAUGUCCCCCAGUCCUUGCUUCCCCUGCCCUGGGAAACCAAUCCAUGCAUUCACCCUAUCUAUUCUCCUCGCGAUUUUAUUCACCUCUAUAAGAUCACCCCCUCAGCCUCCUGUGUUCCAAGGAAUAAAGUCCUGGCCUGUUUGACCCAGUCGUAUAUGAAUGGGGCUUUUGGGUGAAAAAACUUGGGUGAAACAUUUAAACGCGAGUUUGUUAACGUGAUGAUGUGGAGAGUCGUUGGGUGCUUUUGGAUGGAUGGACGAAAUGGCUGUUCACACCCAGGUUUAUUUGGGUCCAACUUGGUUGACCUACAGGAGGCAGAGGUUUUCUUUUCUGCAUGGUGGUUAAUACAGAUACAUCAGGUGUUGCUCUUCAUACCAUCUGUCUCCCUGCACCAGCAGCCCAGAAUGGGGCUGACAUUGCGACCAGCGGGAAGUGAAUGCAUUCGCCGGCCCGAAGAUAGACGCAAAAUGCUGGAGUAGCUCAGCGGGACAGGCAGCAUCUCUGGAGAGAAGGAACGGGUGACGUUUUGGGUCGAGAUCCAUCAGAGACCCCCCGAAACCUCGCCCGUUCCUUCUCCCCAGAGACGCUGCCUGUCCCGCUGAGUUCCUCCAGCAUUUUGGGUCUAUCAUCAUCGGUUUGAACCAACCAAAUCUGCAGUUCCUUCCUACACACCUCCAGUGGCCCACUGGCUCUUACUGGGCACCCCCUCACCUCCGACCAGCCCAGACCCUGUUCAGAAGAAGGGUCUCGACCCGAAACGUCGCCCACUCCUUCUCCCCAGAGAUGCUGCCUGUCCUGCUGAGUUCCUCCAGCAUUUUGCGUUCACCUUCGAAUAACCAUAUAACCAUAUAACAAUUACAGCACGGAAACAGACCAUCUCGACCCUUCUAGUCCGUGCCGAACACAUAAUCUCCCCUAGUCCCAUAUACCUGCGCUCAGACCAUAACCCUCCAUUCCCUUCCCAUCCAUAUAUCUAUCCAAUUUAUUUUUAAAUGAUAAAAACGAACCUGCCUCCACCACCUUCACUGGAAGCUCAUUCCACACAGCUACCACUCUCUGAGUAAAGACGUUCCCCCUCAUGUUACCCCUAAACUUCAGUCCCUUAAUUCUCAUGUCAUGUCCCCUUGUUUGAAUCUUCCCUACUCUCAGUGGGAAAAGCUUAUCCACGUCAACUCUGUCUAUCCCUCUCAUCAUUUUAAAAGAAUAGCCCUGUGCUCUCCUUUAGAAGGUCUGUUCUAAAUUGUUCGCCCAUAACAAUCUGAUGUGAAAUUAGACGAGGUAAAGACUGGUCCGUUGAUUUCAUUGUCUUGAUUUUUAGCUGCUCAUGUUAUGAUACCGACCUUUUGUGUUUAUUUGUGUUGCAGUAGCUAUGGGGGGGGGGAGAGGAAGGGGGCUAGGGUGAAGAUUCCCACAACAGUAUAUUGUUAUUCGGAGUGGAUGUUAUUGAGAAGGUCAAUACCAAGGGACAGGUAAGGAGUGGUGGGGUUGAGACUGUGGCUGUGACUUAUACCCGGGUAUGAGUUUAUGGGGAGAAUGCCGUGUUACUGAGAACAAGUGUUAUGGGAAGAACGUUGCACUGAACAUCAAUCCAGGCUGCCCUGGUUUGAACGGGGGUUGCAUUCAGAAUACGAGCAGUAGUUUAAGAAGGAAGUGCAGAUGCUGGAAAAUCGAAGGGAGACAAAAAAAUGCUGGAGAAACUCAGCGGGUGCAGCAGCAUCUAUGGAGGGAAGGAAAUAGGCAACGUUUCGGGACGAAACCCUUCCGGGUUUCGGCCCGAAACAUUGCCUAUUUCCUUCAAGGGUUCCAGCCCGAAACGUCGCCUAUUUCCUUCGCUCCAUAGAUGCUGCUGCUGCACCCGCUGAGUUUCUCCAGCAUUUUUUGUCUACCUCCAGCGUUUUAUUUAUCACUUUAUACCCUUUCACUCUACACUUUUGUAACCCCAAGACGUGUUAUGCUGACCCUUCCUUCCCACCGCAGUUAGGGGCCAACCUCCAGGAGAGGCAAAACACCCUCUCUAAUUCUCAAUCAGAUACCACAGUGAGAUCUGUGCGGGACAAGGGGCCGCUUCAAUUGACCUCAGACCUCAGGGAUAAGGUCAGCCUGAACACCCCCCCCCCCAACUGAGAUCAUAUAACCAUAUAACAAUUACAGCACGGAAACAGGCCAUCUCGGCCCUACAAGUCCAUGCCAAACAAUUUUUUUUCCCCUUAGUCCCACCUGCCUGCACUCGUACCAUAACCCUCCAUUCCCUUCUCAUCCAUAUGCCUAUCCAAUUUAUUUUUAAAUGAUACCAAUGAACCUGCCUCCACCACUUCCACUGGGAGCUCAUUCCACACCGCUACCACUCUCUGCGUAAAGAAGUUCCCCCUCAUAUUACCCCUAAACUUCUGUCCCUUAAUUCUGAAGUCAUGUCCUCUUGUUUGAAUCUUCCCUAUUCUCAAAGGGAAAAGCUUGUCCACAUCAACUCUGUCUAUCCCUCUCAUCAUUUUAAAGACCUCUAUCAGGUCCCCCCUUAACCUUCUGCGCUCCAGAGAAUAAAGACCUAACUUAUUCAACCUUUCUCUGUAACUUAGUUGUUGAAACCCAGGCAACAUUCUAGUAAAUCUCCUCUGUCCUGACAUAAUUUCCCUCGAUGCCCCCCCAUACCCCACUUGAUGUUAAACUCUUGGGUCCUUCAUGCCCUGGGACUAUUCUCUGCAUUCCAGCUCCAGUAUUCUGAGCAAAGACACAAGGUGCUGGAGGAACACUCUGUGGGUCGGGUAGCAGCAUCUGCGGAGGGAAUGGACAGGCGGGAUUUUGUGUCCGAUCCAAAGCUUUGCCUGUCAAUUCCCAAUACAAAUGCUGCUUCACCACUGAGUACCUUCCUCCAGCACUUUGUGUGUUUUGUGUUCAAGAUUCCAGCAUCUGCAGAUUUCAUGUUCAUAAGUUACCGGAGCAGAAUUAGGCCAUUCGGCCCAUCAAGUCUACUCCGUCAUUCAAUCUCGGCUGACCUAAUCUUUCCCUCUCAAUCCCAUUCUCUUUCUCCCCAUAACCACUGACACCUACCUGUAUCAAUCACAUUUCUUGUGUCUCCAACCCCUUGGAUCCUGUUGUCCUUUUGAUCUUACGGAUGCUGCGCUCUUGGUUACUGCGAGAUCAUACACCCUCUUGGACCCCUCUAUCUGAAUCAUCUCCUGGAUCCUGUUCCUGAUCCUGGUUCCUAUGUGUGGGAAGGAACUGCAGAUGCCGGUUUAAACCGUAGACACAAAAUGCUGGGUUACUCCAGCAUUUUGCGCCCACCCUUGGUCCCUAUAGUCUGUCCAGUCAGCACCUACUGAAUGCAGGAAUGAGACGGGAGAACGCUGAGCUUGACUUCACAGCUGAUUCAAAGUUAGUUCUAAUUAUCACCUACACAGUACCAGCAGGGAUCCCAGCCAAUCUCGAACCCAUGUUUUCUUUGAAUAUAUAUUUUUUAAUAUCUAUCAUUUAUGACUCUGUACAGUCCUGUAUUCCUGCUGCCUACCAAUUGUGUUUGAUGUAUAAAUGCAUUAAACUUUUCGAAUAUGUCACGACAGUACUGGACACAAAUGUUGGCAGUUUGCUGAUCCUCUCAGCCCCAAGUUUGCUAUAGCGUUCUGUGUAGUUAUAUAUAUUAUGUCACUUGUAUGUUCUUUAUAUAUUGUAAAGAUUCUUUAGAUGUUCAGUUGCAUAUUAAACUGCAUCAAUAAA